rnacentral:other from 1 species
CAUUGAACGGACUCGAUCGUUACUAGGAUGGUAGCGACAACGGAAUGACAAUGGACCCCUCUGGAUGAGGCAAGGACUAAACAUCAGGAUGAUGUCAAGGACACUGCUCAGGGAACAAGUAAUGUGCGCUAACAGGAUGGUUAGCAGAUCAGGAUGAUCGAGGACACCGCUAGGAAGGCGAUGAACGGAUUACGCUGAAGGAAUAGCACACUAUCAAGGAAUAGAUGCAGGGAGCACCUAUUUAGUAGCUGGAUUGCUGCGAGUAAGACCAUAACCCCGCAGGGCUUUGCCCGCGGGGUUUUCUUUUGCU